AUGCAAAAUCAGCUAAAGCUGCAAAGCCUUCUUCACAAAAGAAUGAUAAUGUUACAGUUGCAGCUUCUGAGAAAAAGGGAAGUGAUCGCCCACCAGAAAAAGAUAGAAAGAAAGAUGUUCCUCAACCUCGGAUGCAAUAUGAUGACAAGAGUCGAGUGGAGAAGGCAAAAAAGCGUGCAGUUGUAAAGCAAACUGAAGCUAGGAACAGAGUUGAGUUGUUCAGGCAUCUACCUCAAUAUGAGCAUGGAACUCAGCUUCCUGAUCUCGAGUCAAAGUUCUUCCAACUAGAUCCAAUGCAUCCUGCUGUCUACAAGGUUGGUUUGCAGUAUUUAUCUGGAGAUUUAUGUGGUGGCAACGCUCGCUGUAUUGCUAUGCUUUUAGCAUUCCAAGAGGUCAUUAAAGACUACUCAACACCACCUGAAAAAACUCUUGUUAGAGACUUGACAGCAAAAAUUGGAAGCUAUGUUUCUUUUCUCAUUGAAUGUCGGCCUCUUUCAAUCAGCAUGGGAAAUGCAAUUAGGUUUCUAAAGAAUCGAAUUGCCAAGUUACCUCUGACUUUCUCUGAGUCAGAAGCAAAAGCAACUCUCCAUUCAGAUAUUGAUCGUUUCAUAAAUGAGAAGAUUAUACUUGCAGACAAGGUGAUAGUUAAGCAUGCAGUCACAAAGAUUAGAGAUGGUGAUGUUCUUCUUACGUAUGGCUCAUCAUCUGCGGUUGAAAUGAUACUACUGCAUGCCCAUGAGCUUGGCAAACAGUUCCGAGUUGUGGUAGUGGACUCUCGUCCAAAGCUUGAAGGGAAACUCCUACUGCGUAGGUUGGUGGGAAAGGGUAUCAGCUGUACAUACACUCAUAUGAAUGCUGUUUCAUAUAUCAUGCAUGAAGUUACCCGAGUGUUUUUGGGUGCAUCAUCUGUGCUGUCCAAUGGAACAGUUUACUCAAGGGUUGGGACUGCCUGCGUUGCUAUGGUUGCCCAUGCAUUCCAUGUACCAGUCUUAGUUUGUUGUGAAGCAUACAAAUUUCAUGAGAGGGUGCAACUUGAUUCUAUUUGCUCUAAUGAGCUGGGUGAUCCAGAUGCCAUUUCAAAAGUUGGUGGGAGAGGGGAAAUCAACUUUUUGGAUGGCUGUGCCAAUAGUGAAAAUCUUCAGCUUUUAAAUCUGAUCUAUGAU
rnacentral:misc_RNA from 1 species